AUGUAUCUGCUCCUCCAGGUCCCUAAAAUCAGGGUGAACUCCACGAGAUUCACCCGCGGUUUUCUUCGUGUCCAAGGAGGAAGCGCGCGGCCCAGGUGCCCCCCUCCACCCCAGAGUCCUUCCUUCAACCCCCCUGCUGCGCGCUGGCGGGUGGGCGGCGCGGGGGGAAACGCCUCCGGCAGGCCCGGCCCUCCCCCGCCCCCCGGCUUGGUUUUUCCCAGCUGCGGAGGUUGGGCCAGGGGCUGGGGUGCGAGGAGAGUCGGCGCCCGCAGCGCCGCGCCGAGCGGAGAAGUCGCCGAGACUCGGGGCGGACGGCGUGGUCUUCGGAGGCGGGCGGCGGGGAGCCCGCGGCGGAGGCGCACCCCGGGCGGCGCGGGCACCCCCGUCCUCUGCAGGGAGAGUAGGUAGCUCCGGGGUCCCACGGCCGCUUUGUUCGCGGCGUCUCCCCUCCUCCUCCGAGCGGACUCGAACCCCCCUCCGGGAUCCGAGGGGCUAGCGGGGGCGCGGCCCGGGGAGGGGGGAGGGGGAGAGGGAGGGGGGAGGGAGGAGGGGGCGGCGACAGCUGCUGGGUCCUCCACUUCCUGCUAAUC
rnacentral:lncRNA from 1 species